rnacentral:sRNA from 1 species
AUGGCUGUCGUCAGCUCGUGUCGUGAGAUGUUGGGUUAAGUCCCGCAACGAGCGCAACCCUCAUUUUUAGUUGCCAUCAGGUUAAGCUGGGCACUCUAAAAAAACUGCCGGUGAUAAGCUGGAGGAAGGCGGGGAUGACGUCAAGUCCUCAUGGCCCUUACGGUCUGGGCUACACACGUGCUACAAUGGUGGUGACAGUGGGCAGCGAUACUGCAAAGUACAGCUAAUCCCAAAAAACCAUCUCAGUUCGGAUUGGACUCUGCAACUCGAGUCCAUGAAGUUGGAAUCGCUAGUAAUCGUAGAUCAGCGUGCUACGGUGAAUACGUUCUCGGGCCUUGUACACACCGCCCGUCACGCCAUGGGAGUUGGUUUUACCUUAAGCCGGUGCGCUAACCGAAAGGAAGCAGCCGUCCACGGUAGGGUCAGCGACUGGGGCGAAGUCGUAACAAGGUAACCGUAGGGGAACCUGCGGUUGGAUCACCUCCUUUCUAAGGAUAUUGAUGUUUGCUUAGGCAGACAUCCGGAUUGUUGUCUAUUUAUCUCUUUAUAAUAUUAGCUAAGUGCUAGGUGUUUCCUUAAUCAAACUGGGCCGGUAGCUCAGUUGGUUAGAGCGCGCGCUUGAUAAGCGUGAGGUCGGAAGUUCAAGUCUUCCUCGGCCCACCAUUUAUUCAAGGGGGAUUAGCUCAGCUGGGAGAGCGCCUGAUUUGCAUUCAGGAGGUCAGCGGUUCGAUCCCGCUAUCCUCCACCAUAACUUCUAAUAUUAUAUCUUAUUUGUUCUUUAAAUUUGUAAAUAUGAAACUAAUAACUGAUCAAAAUAAUUUUAUUAUUGAUUAAAAAUACGUACAAAAUUUUUCUCUGUACGUAAUUGCAAUCAAGCGCAAAAGGGCAUUUAGUGGAUGUCUUGGCAUUAAGAGACGAAGAAGGACGUGGCAGGCUGCGAUAAGCUAAGGGGAGUUGUCAACAAACUUUGAUCCUUAGAUAUCCGAAUGGGGAAACCCGG